CUCAAAUUCAAGUGGCAUAUAUAUACUUUUACUUCUGAAUUACAGAACAUCUAUAUAAUCCCCAUAGUUUUAUAGAUGACCUUCGUUGAAAAUAAAAGAUAAAAAGUAUUUUGAUGAUAAAUUUCAAGACAUUUGCAUUCAUACAUUCACGCACAGACAGAGAAGCCCUUUCUCAUAUAAACAAGCCAAAAUGUCAAGGGCUUGCUUGGCUACUCCAAUCAAGAAACAGAUUUCGAAGGAAGCUUCGUUGUAUUAAACAAACCUAGAAGAGAGAGAGAGAGAGCGAGAGAUAUGAAAUGAAACUGCUCUUAUUUUUACUUACUGAGGUUGAACUGGGUUGCUGAAAAGUCAUUUGAAAUCACUUCUAAUGAUCAGUAUUGUUCGUGGCCGUUUCAAUGCCUGAUAUUGAGAAGCGGACCGAUUCUUUUUUCUUGGAUGGUUUUGCCCUAUUCCAGAUUGCAUCCCACGGCCUCAACCAUGAUAGCUUAUAAACAUUGGUUUUUCUCCUAUCCACAGGUGUGUUUCUACCUGAAGGCCAAACAUUCUGAACCGGUUCACUUUUGGUUCUUUCUUCCGAAGAAGGUGAGAUAUUCUGCUCAUCUACAGACGAGAUUUCUUGAACCCCAGUUCUAAUUAAUUUGAUAGUUUCCCUUGUACAAGGCUGGACACCAUCAGAAGUAGUCAUCGUUGAAACAGAAGACUUCGAGCUCUCCUGUUGCUUCAAAGCAAACUCAAGUUGUACCACAACUUGAGCCAUUGUAGGCCGUUUCUUUGGUUCAUUGUGCAAGCAUUUUUUAGCAACUUCCAAAAUUGUCUUCAGGCAAUCAGGUGAUAUUUGUCCCCUUAGACUUGGAGCGGCAAUCUGAUCAAUGUUUCCCUUACUGAUGCAAUCUCGAGCCCACAUAAUGAGACUGUGCUUAUCCUCGGUAACUGUUGGAUACAAUGCUGGUCUUCCACACAAUACUUCCAGCAACACAACACCAAAGGCAUAUGUAUCACUCUUCCUUGUCAGUUUACGUGUUCUGAAAUAAUCCGGGUCAAAAUAUCCAAAUGUACCUUUAACGUUUGUGCUAACAUAGCUUUGUAUGUAACUUUUAAUUUGCGGUUUGGCCAACCCAAAAUCUGAAAUCUUAGCCUCCAAAUUUUCAUCCAGCAGGAUGUUAGAAGCCUUUAUGUCACGGUGUAUGAUUCCACGAUUGGUGCCAGAGUGAAGGUAGUCUAGUCCUCGCGCAACCCCAAUGCAGAUCCUUAGGCGUUGCUUCCAAGAGAGAGAAUAAUGAUAAUCACUCUCACCACGAAGUCCAAAGAGAUGGUCAGCUAACGUGCCACAUGGAAUAUACUCAUAAAGAAGGAUCAUUUCUUGGUGCUCAUUGCAGUAGCCGACUAAAGAAACAAGAUUAUUGUGUUGGAGCUUUGAAAGUGUUGCAAUCUCUGUCCAAAACUCAUGUUCUCCUUGCUUGGAGUUGGACUUUAACCUCUUAAUGGCCACCAGCUGUUGCCCAUUUUCAAUGAAUGCUUUGUAGACAUUACCAAAUCCACCCUUUCCAAUAACUAGUGUAUCACUGAAGUUAUCUGUGGCUGACUGGAUCUCAGCAAGGGAAUAAUGACGACAGAGUCCUCCCGUCGAGAUUGAUGGCUUGUUUCUGUCCUCAAUAGUGUUGGCUUCCCAGAUUUGCCGCAACCUAAAAGCAAUGAUGUUGACUAGAGUGAUUAUAAUUACUGCACCAGUUACUACUGUGUUUCUGCGACAAAAAAUUGACAAUAAUAUUCGUACAGUCACGGAUGAUGAAGCUUGCGUAGGAGGCGAGGGGUACAGAGAGGCAAGACUAUUGUACAGGUUGCUCAACUUGCAUAUUUCCAAUCCUUUUAGGGGUCCAUCUAUCAAUUCACUCUUCAACCGCAGGGAAAUUGUUAGAUCACGCCUAGCCUCCUCUUUAUGUCCUUUAAUCAUCACUAUAUAGUCUCUGUACCGAAGGAUGUCAUUGUCGCCCCUCUCUUUUAUUAUAUCAACAUUAGUUUCGACAAUCAUGUCAUUUAUGAGGACACUGUACGCCAUGUUGCCAUUCUCUGCCAUACUCAGUCCUUUCCCGAAGAAAUGGAGCCUGACCAAGUAUCCAAAUCCGACAUCCACAGAUGUUUUCCAGGUGAAAGUGUUGAUCUUGUUUUUCUUUUUAUUUGAAACUGUCUCCCGCAUCCUAUAUUUAUAAGAACUAUCUACUGAUGUGGGAUCCCAUAUUAUAUUUAAUCGCUCCACGAUUUCAAGUGCCGUGCUUUUGUCAAUAUAGAUUCGAGAUUUUUGGCCAACCACUUGGGCCCCAAGACCACCACCAUGAGAGUAAUAAAGGUCAGAUGGCAAGGAUAUUACCUCAAUUCCAUUAAUAAAAGCAUAUGUUUUAUGUGACUGGCUAUGUUCGGGAGAAAAAGUUAUAGUCAACAGUUGAUUUUUGUCUAUAUUGAUGCAGUAUUCCUUCACAAAAGAUUUUACACUGAGUGCAUCAGCAGUUAUUGAAGCACUAAAGUUACUAAGGAGAGUGAAAGGCCCAACUUCAACUGUGAAAAAAUCUCGAGACUUCUUAAAUUGCUGGUAUAAAGACAGACUAAAGUGAAGGCGAAUGAGUUUGAGACCUGGGCUUACUCGAAAAGUAUAAGAGAAUUGUGAUUGAGAGACUCGUGCUGUUUUGUAAGGGACAGGAUCAACCAAAGCCAAAUUAUGGAUGGUGCUUGAGCUGGAGGAUGAGCCCUUUAUUUGUGGUGGGGAAGUCGAUAUAUCUCCAAUCCAUUCCCGACCAUUGAAAGCCGUUGAAAUGCCAGUGGAACCACAGUUAAUUGCUACGUCUUCAUUGAGGUAGUAACCUGCAGAAUGCUCUGUAAAGGUGAAAAGAAGAUGAAGAAUGAAAAAGAACAGAUUGACCAUUGAAACUGGAUGCAGAUACAUGUGAUUUUUUAUUUUAUUUUUUGGUGUAAACAAGAGAGGAUGCUAGCAGUUAAUAGUCU
rnacentral:lncRNA from 1 species